AUGUCAUUUGCCGGCGUGUCUCUCGUCGGCGACAGCAAGGCCGUCGGCCACGCCAUCGACAUCCCCAGUGCCAGUGGGUACCACCUGCUUGUGGUUAACCGCUACUUGCACACCAAAGCCACUGUAUCCAAUGGCACGAAGAUCGUGUCUCUCCCUUUCAUGAUAGGAGGUCAUCGUUGGCGCAUAAGCUACUAUCCUAAUGGCGACCGCUCAGAGUGUGCGGACUCAAUAUCUCUCUUUCUAUGUCUUCUUGAUGAAAAUGUUGCAGAGGCUCUGAAUGUGCAGUCCAUUUUUAGUUUUGUCGACGAGCAUGAGAAGCAAGAUUCAACAUAUAUUCGUGCAAGAAAGGCAGAUAACUUCUCAAGCAGUACUACAUCUUGGGGUCGCCGGUGUUUCAUAAAAAAAGACGCUCUUGAGAAAUCAAAGCAUCUAAAAGAUGAUUGUUUCACCAUUCGAUGUGACCUCGCCAUUGCCACCACAGUUGAUCUCUUCAUCAAGGUACCACCUUCUAGCAUCAAACAGCAUAUCACCAAUCUCCUCAUGUCCAAGGAGGGCACUGACGUAACAUUCAUGGUGUGUGGUGAGAAGUUUGCUGCCCACCGAUGCGUGCUUGCAGCUCGAUCUACAGUCUUCAAGGCGGAGCUGUUUGGCUCCAUGAAAGACAACACAAUAGCAAGUGUCAUAGAUGUAGAAGACAUGGAAGCGAAGGUGUUUAGGGCCUUGCUUGACUUCAUUUACACCGACUCAUUGCCUGAGAUGGAGACGGACACGGGGGAUGAGGAAGAAGCCCAGGAAGCAUUGUGGCUGCAACACUUGCUCGCAGCGGCGGAUAGAUAUGAUCUCCAGAGGCUGAAAGCACUGUGUGAAAAGAAUUUGUGUGAACACGUAGACGUGAGCUCAGUGACAACUAUUCUUACACAAGCUGAGUAG
rnacentral:rRNA from 1 species